rnacentral:rRNA from 1 species
GAUGAACGCUGGCGGCGUGCCUAAUACAUGCAAGUCGAGCGAAUGGAUUAAGAGCUUGCUCUUAUGAAGUUAGCGGCGGACGGGUGAGUAACACGUGGGUAACCUGCCCAUAAGACUGGGAUAACUCCGGGAAACCGGGGCUAAUACCGGAUAACAUUUUGAACCGCAUGGUUCGAAAUUGAAAGGCGGCUUCGGCUGUCACUUAUGGAUGGACCCGCGUCGCAUUAGCUAGUUGGUGAGGUAACGGCUCACCAAGGCAACGGUGCGUAGCCGACCUGAGAGGGUGAUCGGCCACACUGGGACUGAGACACGGCCCAGACUCUUACGGGAGGCAGCAGUAGGGAAUCUUCCGCAAUGGACGAAAGUCUGACGGAGCAACGCCGCGUGAGUGAUGAAGGCUUUCGGGUCGUAAAACUCUGUUGUUAGGGAAGAACAAGUGCUAGUUGAAUAAGCUGGCACCUUGACGGUACCUAACCAGAAAGCCACGGCUAACUACGUGCCAGCCGCCGCCGUAA